AUGGUGGUUCUCAAGCUGGAUUUCCAAAAGGCGUUCGACACUGUCAGCUGGGCCUGUCUCUUCAGCAUUCUUCAAGCCCACGGUUUCCCUUCAAAAUGGAUCAGCUGGAUCUCAUCGCUCUUGGCCACGGCUAGUUCAAGAAUCAUGCUUAAUGGUAGGCUUGGUGAGUCUUUCGUUGCAAGGAGAGGGUUUCGCCAGGGCGACUCCAUCUCACCAUACAUAUUCAUUUUAGUCGCUGAUGUCCUAUAG
rnacentral:rRNA from 1 species